AUGUGUACCCAACCUGUAACAAACACCAAGGAGGUAAAGUGGCAGAGGGUCUUGUAUGAGCAACAGCCCUUUCCUGAUAACUUUGUGGACCGGCGGUUCCUGGAAGAGCUCUGGAAAAACAUCCAUGCUCGGAAAUACCAAUAUUGGGCUAUGGUAUUUGAGUCCAGUGUGGUGAUCCCGCAGCUGUGCAGUGUUUUUGUUUUUCUGGUUAUCUGGUGGUAUAUGGAUGAGGGUCUUCUGGCCCCCCAAUGGCUUUUUGGGACUGGCCUGGCUUCUUCACUGAUUGGGUAUGUUUUGUUUGAUCUCACUGAUGGAGGUGAAGGGCAGAAGAGUGGGUGGACCCGGUGGGCUGACCUGAAGAGUGCCCUAGUCUUCAUUACUUUCACUUAUGGCUUUUCACCAGUGCUAAGACCCUGACAGAGUCUGUCAGCACUGACACCAUCUAUGCCAUGUCAGUCUUCAUGCUGGUAGGCCACCUCAUCUUUUUUAACUAUGGUGCCAAUGAUGCCUUUGUAUCCACUGUAUCCAGCACACUAUCCUUGAACAUGGCCAUCUUUGCUUCUGGAUGCUUGGCUUCCACCUUCCCCAGUCCCUGCAUGUCUUCAUCAUGGGAACACUUGCCAUCCAGAUUUUUGUCCUGUGGCUCAUGCUACAGAAGAAACUAAAGGCACGGACUCCCAAGGGCUAUGUGGUGGUCACACUGCUUUUUGCCUUUUCGGUCUUGGAAGGCCUACUGCCUAUUAGUGCUGUGGGAGCCGUACUCUUUGCCCUUCUGUUGAUUUCUAUCUCAUGUCUCUGUCCAUUUUACCUCAUUCGCCUGCAGCUUUUUAAAGAAAAUAUUCAGAGGCCUUGGGAUGAAGCUGAAAUCAAGGAAGACUUGUCUAGGUUCCUCAGC
rnacentral:lncRNA from 1 species